UGAUCUGUACACACGCAGGGGACUUUGAUAUAUUUAUGUGAUCUUGGGAUUUGUAUGAUACAGAUUGGAAUUUGAAACUUAAUGUUUUUAUGAAAUUAAAUGAGAAAUGUUUUUUUUAUAUUGCGAAAAAUUAUUUUGAAAUUCACGGUGUUACAAGUUGGUAUCAGAGCCUUGGUUUGAGGGAUUCGAGUACACCUUCGGGCGUAUUUGAACUCAAACUGAGGAUUUGAAAUGUAUUUUCAAAAAGAGUAAAAGAUUUUUGAAAAACGCAGAGCAAGAGAUGUGUGUACGAUCAGUCAGCGCCCGAACGGUGAUUUCCCAAAAUACCUUUAUAUAUUAUGUGAUAUUGAUAUUGAUAUGAUGUAUCCGCAUGCUAGAGUAGGCUAGGUAUUGCUAUUAGGACUAGAGUGGCCUGAUUUGUGAUAUCUUAGCCUAGGGAGAGGUGAGCUGCUAUGAGAUGCUUGAGAGUGAGUAGGUAGCAGCGAGGGGCUUAUGAGAGACCUAUUGGAGAGUGGUCUAUGCAUGAUAGAGUACUUGAGACCUAGCAUCCAAAGGGGAGGACUUGGGGUGUAUUCUGGUGCGGACAGUAGUAUUGGGCCCGUACUACUGGAAGCACCGGAGCGGUGUGCAGCCCAAGUCAGAAUCUUUGGAAUGCCAAGAAUCAAGGAGGAAAGAGUUGACGAGUGUGAGCAUACUCGUGUGGAUUCUAAUUUAUCGUAUGUUGUAUUUCAGAGGUAGAUCAUGGUGAGGACACGUUUGAUGCCCGAGAGCAGUGGUACCAGUGAGGAGGAGAUCCGCCGGAUCAUUCAGGAGGAGGUGGCUGCGGCCAUCAGGGCAGAGAUACCGGAGAUGUUUGGGUCUAUAAAGACCACAUUGAUUGAGACGUUUGAUGAGCGUUAUGCCGCUCUUUCUGAGGCUGCUGCUGCAGCGGCUACCGCAGCGAUUGCUGCUGCGAGGCCGCAGGGUGGGGAUGCGUUGCUGUUCCGUGAGUUCAGCAACACAAAACCACCAGAGUUUGAUGGUACUCAGGAUCCGGUGGCAGCUAUGAGGUGGAUAUCUGAUAUUGAGGGGUGUUUCUUCACUUGCUCGUCUCCUGAGCAUUUGAAGGUACGGUUCGCGCUGAACCAGCUUCGCUUGGGAGCGAAGGACUGGUGGAAGUUUGUGACAGCGCAUUAUUCGCCUGCUGAGCUUUCUGCGGUGACCUGGGAGAGGUUCACCACUAUGUUUCGGGAUGAGUACGUUCCCCAGGUGGAGAGGGAGCGUUUAGCACAGGAGUUUCUGACCCUCAAGCAGGGUACUGAGUCUGUUACAGCGAUCACGAGGAUGUUCCACGAGAGGGCGAUGUUCUGCCCUGAGCACGUGUCCACUGAGCAGGCACGUAUGAGCCGCUACUUGAGCAUCUUGAGGAGGGAUAUUCGGGAGUUCGCUGCGAACUCCUCGUACCGGACAUUUGCCGAGCUUCAGGCAAAUGCCCGGAAGAGGGAGAUUGAGCUUGAGACCCAGGCCAGGGAGGAGGCAGAGUCUCAGGGGAGGGAUCGGCGACCGGCGUUGUCGCAGCCGGCCGCCAAGCGGGCCAAGCCUGCUGAUCCCAGACCAGGGAGCCAGAAGGGCCGCACUUGCGGAAAGUGCGGCAAGGGUCAUGACGGAGUCUGCCGAGCAGGGUCUUGCUACAAAUGUGGCAAGGAGGGGCACAUGGCCAAGGACUGCCCCAAGGGGUUUGCAGUGUGCUUUCACUGCAACCAGACCGGACACCGGAAGGCCGAGUGUCCGCAGUUGCGCGGAGCAUCUCAGGGGUCUGCUCCUGCCGCCACCAGAGUUACAGAGAGUCGGCCUGUGAAGGCCGAGACGCCGAGAGCUCGAGGGAGAGCCUUCCAGCUGACUGCGGAGGAGGUCCGCGCUGCGCCCGAUGUUGUGGCUGGUAUGUUUCCUUUCGUGUAUUUAUUUUGACAUAUGAUGUUAUGCUUAUAUUAUGUUAUGUGUAGGUACUUUUCUUGUGAAUUCCGUACCUGCUUUAGUGUUAUUUGACUCGGGUGCGAGUCGGUCUUUUGUAUCUUUGGCCUUUAGCCAGCAUAUCAGUGCUAGUCGUGAGGCACUGAGUCGGCCUCUGAGAGUCUCCAUAGCUGAUGAUAGAGUGAUUUGUGCCACAGAGGUUUUCCGGGGAUGUGUGUUAGAGAUCUUCGGGAUUGAGUUUCCGAUUGAUCUGAUUCCUAUUGCGAUGGGUGAUGUUUGUGUCAUUGUGGGCAUGGACUGGUUGAGCCGAUUCGGCGCGAUUAUCGACUGUGAGCGUCAGCUGGUGACUAUACGAGACCCUAGUGGGGGAGUUCUUUCGGUGUACGGUGAGGGUACACGUUCGGGAUCAGCCUUUUGUUCGGCCGCCAGGGCGAGGCAGUGUCUACAGCAGGGCUGUAAGGGUUUUGUGGCGUAUGUGAUGGAUACGCGAGCGACUUCCGAGAGACCGAGUUCAGUUGGGGAGGUACCGGUGGUAUGUGAGUUUCCAGAUGUCUUUCCCGAGGAGCUGCCGGGAGUACCUCCUGUGAGGCAAGUAGAGUUUGGUAUUGAUUUGGUUCCGGGGGCUGCGCCUAUAGCUAAGGUGCCUUAUCGUCUUGCACCUCCAGAGAUGCAAGAGUUAUCCUCGCAGCUUCAGGAGUUGCUGGGGAAGGGAUUUAUUCGGCCGAGCAGCUCGCCGUGGGGAGCACCUAUUCUGUUUGUCAAGAAGAAGGAUGGUUCACACCGGAUGUGUAUUGAUUACCGGGAGUUGAACAAGCUGACGGUCAAGAACCGUUACCCGUUGCCGAGGAUCGACGAUUUAUUUGAUCAGUUGCAGGGAGCAUCUUGGUUUUCCAAGAUCGAUUUGAGGUCGGGAUAUCAUCAGGUGAGGGUGCGAGACGGGGACGUCCAGAAGACAGCUUUCAGGACGCGUUAUGGGCAUUAUGAGUUUGUGGUGAUGCCUUUUGGGCUCACCAAUGCCCCGGCGGUGUUCAUGGAUCUCAUGAACAGGGUAUGUAGGCCGAUGUUGGAUCGGUCGGUGAUUGUAUUUAUCGAUGAUAUUCUGGUGUAUUCGAGAUCUAGGGAGCAGCAUGAGGAACAUUUGAGGGAGGUCCUUGGGGUACUGAGAUCGGAGAAGCUUUAUGCAAAGUUCUCCAAGUGUGAUUUCUGGUUACGGGAGGUCCAGUUCCUAGGACAUCUCGUUAACCAGGAAGGGAUUCUGGUCGAUCCGGCCAAGGUUGAGGCGGUGAUGGGUUGGGAGGUGCCAAAGUCACCCUCUGAGAUCAGGAGCUUCCUUGGAUUAGCAGGGUAUUAUCGGAGAUUUAUCAAGGAUUUCUCCAAGAUCGCAGUGCCGCUCACCAGGUUGACCCGGAAGGGUGUUGCAUUCUCAUGGGGUCCCGAGCAGCAGACCUCCUUUGAGACACUUCGCCAGAGGUUGUGCGAAGCCCCGGUAUUAGCUCUCCCGGAAGGGAUGGAGGAUUUUGUAGUAUAUUGUGAUGCAUCGAUUUUGGGGUUGGGUGCGGUGUUGAUGCAGAGGGGUCAUGUGAUAGCAUAUGCAUCGAGGCAGCUGAAGCCUCAUGAGACGAGAUAUCCCACGCAUGAUCUAGAGUUGGGGGCAGUAGUGUUCGCCCUCAAGAUUUGGCGCCACUACUUAUAUGGGGUUCGAUGUACGAUAUACACGGACCAUAAGAGCUUGAAGUACUUGAUGGAUCAGCCCAAUCUAAACAUGCGUCAGAGGAGGUGGUUAGAUGUGGUCAAGGAUUAUGAUUGUGAGAUCCUGUACCACCCGGGCAAGGCCAACGUGGUGGCCGAUGCGUUGAGCCGCAGGGCGGAGAGCACUCCAUUGCGAGAUGUAUGUUUGAGAUUGACCAUGAUAGCUCCGGUAUUGGAUGCCAUUCGUGGGGCACAGGCCGAGGCUGUGCAGCCGGAGAUGCAGAAGAGGGAACGGGUCGUUGGUUUGGUUUCAGAAUUCGUUACGGAUGGGCGAGGGCUUAUGACUUUUCAGGGUCGGAUUUGGGUACCGUUCGUGGGUGGUACGCGCACUUCCUUGAUGGAGGAGGCUCAUCGGUCGAAAUUUUCGAUCCAUCCGGGGGCUACGAAGAUGUAUUUGGAUUUGAGGAGAGAGUAUUGGUGGCCCUGUAUGAAGAGGGACGUCGCAUGGUUCGUUGAGAGGUGCUUGACCUGUCGUAGGGUUAAGGCCGAGCACCAGAGACCACAUGGCAAGUUGCAGCCAUUGGAGGUUCCCGAAUGGAAAUGGGAACAGAUCACUAUGGAUUUCAUCACCAAAUUGCCGAGAACUGCCAGGGGAGUUGAUGCAAUUUGGGUGAUUGUGGAUAGGUUGACGAAGAGCGCUCACUUCCUUGCCAUCAGUGAGAGUUCUUCAGCAGAGAAGUUGGCAGAGUUAUAUGUGAGAGAAGUGGUAUCUCGGCAUGGGGUGCCGAUCUCGAUUGUUUCAGACCGUGAUGUGCGCUUUACUUCCAGAUUCUGGAAGAAAUUUCAUGAGGAGUUGGGUACUAGAUUGCAUUUUAGUACCGCAUAUCAUCCCCAGACAGACGGUCAGAGUGAGCGGACGAUUCAGACGCUUGAGGACAUGCUUCGAGCAUGUGUGUUGGAUUUUGGGGGUAGCUGGGAUGCGUAUCUACCCUUGGCAGAGUUUUCCUACAACAACAGCCAUCAUUCGAGCAUUGGUAUGCCACCCUUUGAGCUGUUGUAUGGUAGGAGGUGUCGGACCCCCAUUUGCUGGGGAGAGGUCGGGCAGAGAGUGAUGGGCAGUACCGAGAUCGUGCUUCAGACGACAGAGCAGAUUCAGCAGGUCAGACAGAGGUUGUUGACCGCCCAGAGUCGACAGAAGAGUUAUGCAGACAGACGCCGGUCCGAGCUUGAGUUUCAGGUCGGCGACUUCGUUCUCCUGAAGGUCUCUCCUUGGAAAGGAGUGAUUCGAUUCAGGAAGAGGGGCAAGUUGGGGCCCCGGUAUAUUGGGCCAUUUCGCGUGAUUGCGAGGGUAGGCCGGGUAGCCUAUCGUUUGGAAUUGCCAGCAGAGUUGGGGCAAAUCCACGACACUUUUCAUGUGUCGCAAUUGAGGAAAUGUAUUGCCGAUGAGUCGGCAGUAGUUCCAUUAGAGGAUAUUCAGGUGGAUGCGAGCCUGAAUUAUGCCGAGAGACCAGUAGCCAUCAGAGAUCGGAAGAUCAAGGUUCUGAGGAACAAGGAGGUACCUUUGGUGUUGGUUCAGUGGCAACACCGGAAGGGAUCAGAGAUGACCUGGGAGCCGGAGCGCGAGAUGCGGGCUCAGCAUCCGGAGCUAUUUUAGAGCGAGACUUCGAGGGCGAAGUCUAAUCCUAGUGGGGGAGAAUUGUAACAGCCCGGAUCUCCAGGUAUUUUAUUGUUUUAAUAUUUUGAGUUUUGAGAAGGGACUCGGCGAGUUGGAGCUCAGACUCGCCGAGUAGGGUCGCGAUUCUGGACGCGGGAUUCGUUCGGACUCGGCGAGUCCAGGAUAUGGACUCGGCGAGUCCACGCUGUUUAAUGAAACCCUAAUUUCUCGGGUUUGGGACCUAUUUAAAUGGCCUUAUGGCCGUCAUUUGCAUCCAUCAGUCCAUAGAGAGAAACCCUAAAAGUGCUUUAGCGAUUUGAGAGUGAAAGGAGGCAUUUCUUGACAUUUGUGUGUUGUUUAGCAAAGAAGAAGGAGGCUCUAGCCAAGAGGAGGCAAAGGGGACUGCUAUUUGGUGGAUUGGAAGCUUGACCCUUCAAUCUAAAGGUAUAAUUUCGACUCAUCUCCUGUUUUGUGAAGUAUAACCGAUUUUAGGGUUUCUUGUGGCCUUGUUGAGUUGAUUUGAUGGCCAAAUAGUCCCAUGCUAGUGAUGAGACUUCGGAUCUGGAUCCAUAGAGGUCCAGAGAGUCUCAUUCUUCAAGCUUUAUAGAGAACAAUGGAGGUCAUGACCUUGUGUAGUGAGAUUUGUUGAAGAUUCUUCAUAAUUAGUCAUAUAGAGGUUGUUAAUGCAUCAAGACUAGGACUUUACGUGAUGAAUCAGUCUAGGAGGGCCAGAUCUAUGAAUUGUUGGAGUAGAUCUGACCUUAGAAGCAAGUUUGAGUGAUUGCAUGGAAUGGACUCGCCGAGUCCGAUGAGCAGACUCGGCGAGUAGCUUGAAGAUUGCCUUGGACCGGCCAGAGAGUGGUCCAGACGAGUCAGGAGUUGACCCAGUGAGUCAGGGCGAGUUAGAGAGGAUUGUCAUGUGGUCUGAGUCGAGCUGGGACUCGCCGAGUCGUUCUUGAGACUCGGCGAGUUGAGUCGGGGUGGUCCCGCGAUUCUUCCAGGUGGAACUCGUCGAGUCAGGGGGAGUACUCGACGUGUAGAAAGGGAAUCCUAGAGAGUUGGUGAGAACGUCUAGACUCGCCGAGUUGCCGCGUGCACUCGCCGAGUCCGGUCAAAGUUGACCGUUGACCGUUGACCUGUGUUGACUUCUUAGGGAUAGUCAACCUUAGAGAUAAAAGUGUUAAUUAGAGUCUUGUGAUGUUAUAGGAGGAUUAGAGCUCGGAGGAUCGAGUACGAGGGAUUUCCAGGGAUCGUGAGAUACUGAGACACGCGAGGUGAGUCUUCUCACUAUACUUUACCUUGAGUAGGUAACCAGAGUCAUGUGAUAGAGUAUGUGUAUGUUAUGUGUAUGCUAUGUGUUGUACUGCAUGAUGUCUAUGUGAUUUAUGUUGUGCAUGCUUAUAGAGUUGGAACCGGAAGGUUCCCAGAGUUAGAACCUGAGGGUUCACAGAGUUGGGUGCACGGACCCAUAGAGUUAUGGCCUCGAGUGGCUAAUAUGUGUUUUAUGUGUGGUAUUUUGGGGAACUCACUAAGCUUUGUGCUUACAGUGUUAGUGUUGUUGUUUCAGGUACUAGCGAUGACCGUGGGAAGGCGCCGGCUUGAUCUGUACACACGUAGAGGAAUUCGAUAUAAUUAUGUGAUCUUGGGAUUUGUAUGAUACAUAUUGGAAUUUGAAAUUUGAUGUUUUAUGAAAUUAAGAGAGAAAUGCUUUUAUAAAUUGUGAAAAAUAAAUUUUAAAAUUUUCAGUGUUACAAGUUGGUAUCAGAGCCUUGGUUUGAGGGAUUCGAGUACACCUUCGGGCGUAUUUGAACUCAAACUGAGGAUUUGAGAUGUAUUUUCAAAAAGAGUAAAAGAUUUUCGAAAAACGCAGAGCAAGAGAUGUGUGUACGAUCAGUCAGCGCCCGAACGGUGAUUUCCCAAAAUACCUUUAUAUAUUAUGUGAUAUUG
rnacentral:lncRNA from 1 species